UGAAAUGUCAGGUAUCAUUUAGCUCAUUGCUUUGGCUUUGGUUUUCAGUCAGCCCAGAAGUACAGCCUCUCACUGAUUUCCUCUGUUUUAUUCAAUGCCAAUUGUGUCUAAAAGUGGCACAGUGAUAUAGUCCUCUGCAGUUCAUGGGAGCAGAAGUGUGACUUUGAGAUGAAGUAGGUUUCCUAGGGUGUGGGUCUUAGUCCACAGAGAGUUCAACGUCAGAGUCACAAUGAGGAUUGUGAUGGCCCAGGCAUUUCCUGUGGUGCUGAGGGAGAAAAAGGAGCUGCCUACUUUUUUCUCUGGCAAGUCUGAGUGAUGUUGGAGCUUAUGGCACCAGUGAUAUGGCUUCUCUUCUUUUAGGACUGUGUAAUGUGGAUGGGCCCUUCCUGAGUCCUGCUAGGAGAGUGCUACUAGUGCUGUGGCUUAUGACAGCAACGUUCAUAGCUCUUGGACUGGAGGAUCUGAACUGAACCCUGCUCUAGUAAUGCAGGAUGGCUUCAAGGGAAGCCAGGCUGGUAGGCAAGUGUUCCCUUUAACUCACAAGGGAAACUGAGUAUGUAAAGAUUUUCCCAUGGCUCUCCAGUACCAGAGUCAAGAAUAAUGCAUGGAGUGACAGCACGGUGAUCGACUUGGUGGAGCAGAUAAAAGGAGAGAUAAAGAAAGAGAAAUAAAGACCUGGGAAACAGCACACAGUUAGGUGCCCAUAUGAUUCUAGUCCACAGUCUGAAAUGUGACUUGGCAAAACAUUUCUAGACUCCAGAUGCAACCUCGGUCUGCUCCUACUAAGAAUGAUCAGUUUUUGUGUUAGAGAGCACCUUUAUGCCUUUACAGAUGUGUCAGAGACACACAGCAUAGUUAUUCUCAUGCCAUAACUCCAACACCUACAACAACUGCUAGAGUAUAGUAGGAAUUCAGUAAACUUUUACUGAACCUUUCAUUAUGUUACUAUUUAGUACGUCUGAGUGCAAUGUUAUCGCAUAUUAGAAUCUUCCAUAUUGCAAUAAUUCUGAAGUCUUUCAGUGGGUCAAGGGCCACAGCUGUCAAUCAAUGCCUUACAUUUCCACAUUCUUAUUGACACCACCUUUUGGCUCCUGCUGUGAGUCAGGCUUGUGGCCAGUAAACUCAUCCCAACACUUGCUUUAUACCCUCUUGAUCAAAGUCAAUGAUCUGAGGCAAACUAACCCCCAAUAAUCUAUAUACAGCUGGCACCAAACAUCAAAUGCAUUAAAAAUUACUAAUACUAUAAUAUAGUAGCAUUAUUAUUGCCAUGCUAUGAUAUAGCUUUAAUUAUUAUUAAUUGCCACUGGUAUACAAUAGCAAUAUGAAAUUGGAAUAUACAAUUGAAUGCUUGAUGUUUCUUGCUUAUUUUACUGCUAUGUACUCACAUUAGAAUUUCACAGUAACUAUUACAGAUUAAUAAAUCCAAACAUAAUUUCUGAAACUUUAACACCUAAUUAAUAAAUUCGAAUAAGAGAUCAUGAUGUGAGGACACUUCAGCUACAAUGAAAAUUUCUGAAUCAAUGGGUAUUUCUUUUCAAUCCAGUUACCUUCCUCUACAAUUAAACAAUAGUGAAGUCCUCAGAAAAUUUCCACUGACCUUGGCGUACUCUUCUCUCACCAGAUUGAUAUUACAUCAUCACAAAGGAAAAAAAUACUGGUGAUUUUAUAAGUAUAUGAAAAAUUGAAGUCAAGCAUUUCCUAUUCAGAAUUUACCUUAGUCAAGCAUAUACAUAUUAAUUAACCUCAGCAAAUUCUUUAUUAUGUUAUCAAAAAAUAGUGCAUGCAGUA